rnacentral:lncRNA from 1 species
UGGAGCUAUUUCUACUGUCAAGAUUUGCUCUGAUGGAAUAUGGGUAUAAAUAUCCCUCCGAUCUGAGACCGCCAAGGUGACUUGCAAGCAACUCACUGCAUUUAGGCACUGGACUACCUGAAUUUCUAAUUCAGUGAUGGAAGGCUGCUGGGUGUAGUCAAGUACUUGACUUGUCGGUGCGUGGGUCAAGAUGGGAUUGACCACUCCAGUUUAGGAGUUGUGCAUAGUCAUAUUUUAAUUUAGCAAAACUUUGGCCAGGA